CUCCCCCGUGCCGGGGCGUGCAUUUCUGUUGAUCGGAUAUGCAUAACGGCACAUCCUCCCUGUCAGACUGCCCGGGCCUUCGUGCCCGGGCUUUUUU
rnacentral:ncRNA from 1 species